GACGAACGCUGGCGGCGUGCUUAACACAUGCAAGUCGAACGGAAAGGCCCUGCUUUUGUGGGGUGCUCGAGUGGCGAACGGGUGAGUAACACGUGAGUAACCUGCCCUUGACUUUGGGAUAACUUCAGGAAACUGGGGCUAAUACCGGAUAGGAGCUCCUGCUGCAUGGUGGGGGUUGGAAAGUUUCGGCGGUUGGGGAUGGACUCGCGGCUUAUCAGCUUGUUGGUGGGGUAGUGGCUUACCAAGGCUUUGACGGGUAGCCGGCCUGAGAGGGUGAACGGCCACAUUGGGACUGAGAUACGGACCAGACUCCUACGGGAGGCAGCAGUGGGGAAUAUUGCACAAUGGGCGGACGCCUGAUGCAGAAACGCCGCGUGCGGGAUGACGGCCUUCGGGUUGUAAACCGCUUUCGCCUGUGACGAAGCGUGAGUGACGGUAAUGGGUAAAGAAGCACCGGCUAACUACGUG
rnacentral:rRNA from 1 species